GAGCAAGCUCAUCAGAGCACUGCUGCAAGCUCCUUUAAUACCCUCCACCCAGUACCCCAUUGGUCCCAAGAAAGCAUCUCUUCUAAACUGCAGUUUCAGGUUGGCUGGCAUUGUUUGCAGUAGCAAUUCAUGAUCUCUCAGGCAGUCCUCAAUUAAGUCCUCCUACAGGAGGUGCUUUUGUGCUGCAAGGCCCCCAGUGUUU
rnacentral:lncRNA from 1 species